GACGAACGCUGGCGGCGUGCUUAACACAUGCAAGUCGAACGGAAAGGCCCUGCUUUCAGGGUCCUCGUGUGGCGCACGGGUGAGUAACACGUGGGUGAUCUGCCCUUCACUUCGGGAUAAGCCUGGUGAACUGGGUCUCUUACCGGAUAGGAGCCAUUUUUAUUGUUAUGGUUGGAUAAAUUUUUCGGUUUAGGAUGGUUUCGCGGCCUAUCAGCUUGUUGGUGGUGUAUUGGCAUACCACGGCGGCGACGGGUAGCCGACCUGAGACGGUGGACGGCCACAAGGGGACUGAGAGACGGCGCAGAAGCCUACGGGAGGCAGUAGAGGGGAAUAUUGCAGAAUGGGGGCAAGCGUGAUGAAGAGAUGCCGCGUGGGUGAUGACGGGUUGCAGGAUGUAAACUCGUGUGGGAAGGGACGAAGCAUUUUGUGACGGUACCUAGAUAAGAAGCAACGGCUAACUACGUG
rnacentral:rRNA from 1 species